AGGACUGAAACUCAGUCAUCUUACGGGAAAGCCACAAAGGGAAGUGAUCCACCCAAAGAAAAGUGGACCUCGAACGGACAACCUCUCUGGUCAAAGAAUCUGCAAUUUCAUUGUGAAUCCUUCGGAUAUGACGAAAUUCCACCAUUUCAAAAUUUCUCCCAAGCUCAAGGAUCCUCAAAACCCAAAUCCCAGCUUCUGAUUUGUUCAUCUCCCUUCUAUUUAGAAGGUGAAUCGUCUCUAAAGCGUCAGAUUCCACCACCACAGCACUGAAAUUCAUCCUGAAAACAAGACGAAUAUCUUCCUUAAUCACCAUCAACUCAGCAUGGAGGGUACUGUACCUGAUGCUCACAAAUUUGGACAUGGCAACCUCCGAAAGAUGAGUACCUCUACGAAUUGAAAUCGCAAUUCCAGUCACUGACAAUGAAAUGUUACAGGCUGCAUCGGAAUUAAUCACCAUGCCCUCCUGCACAGGAAGCAAGCUCACCUCUAAAUUUGAAGGAAACCCCUCCAAAGUGCCCCCAAAACAUCUCCCCUUUUACUAGCAUUCACACUUCUAAAAGAUUACAUGUAUUGAAGAAUUCAUUCUCCUUUAAUAGAAACUUCAGGAAUUUACCUAUUAUUACUGAUAUUGUUCCUGUCAUUCCAAAUCGCCCAAAACAUUACUGUAUCUAAUUUAAGAUCCUCUCUCGACAGCACCUCCAUCAUCUGCUCCCAGUACCACCGAAGAUCUGGGCCUUUUGCCAAGCUUCUUGAUGAUAAAGGCAAACAACACUCCCAGACGCUUCUAGCACGCGAACAUUCAACAAAGACAUGGGUGACUGUCUCCCUUUAGCAGAGCAAACUAGGCAAACAGUUCAAUAUUUAAUUAUUCCUAAUUCUAAAUCAUAUCGUAUCCCAUUUUUAAGUGGUGACAAUUUUAAGGAUUGGAAAGAGAAAGUUCUCAACAUUGGGGUGCAUGGACCUUGUCUUGGCAUUACGUGUUGAUGAACCACCAAUACCUAUAGAAUUAAGUACCCAAAAUGAGUAAGUAGCAUAUGAACAGUGGGAGAGAUCCAACCGCUUAAGUAUCAUGCUUAUCAAGUCCCAUGUGGGUAAAAGUAUUCGUGGUUCGAUUCCGAUUUGUGCUAAAGUCAAGGAACAUCUUGAUCCUAUUGAGCAGUAGUUUGUUACUUUUGAUAAGGCAAUGACAAGUACCUUAAUGAAUCAAUUGUCAUAUAUGAAGUUUGAUGGUAACAAAGGUAUACGUGAGCACAUAAUGUAAAUGAGGGAUAUAGCUGCUGAACUUAAGACGUUAGAGAUAGGGAUUUUUUGGUCUUUUAUGGUUCACUUCAUCCUUAAUCCACUUCCUUCAGAAUAUGGACCUUUUAACAUUUCAUAUAACAAACAUAAGGAAAAUGGUCAAUCAAUGAACUUUUGAUCAUAAUUGUUCAAGAAGAAACAUGGUUGAAAUAGGAAAUGGUUGAAUGUGCACACGUGGCGACUCGUGGUAAGAAAGCUGUCAACAAGGGGAAAGGAAAGACACCUCUUAAUCAAGUUAAUAAGGGUGCAUUCCUAUGUUUUCUUUUGGUACAAAGAAGGGACACGUGAAGAAAGAUUGGCCCAAAUACAUAUAAUGGCUUGAAAAGAAAGGGCUUCCUAAGCCAUCAGAAACAAGAUGAGAUCACAUGUGGAAGCUAUUGGAACCUGUCGUCUUAUUCUGUCUACCGGCUUUGUUUUGGACCUUGAAAAAACUACUUUUUCCAUAAACCUAAUUUCGGUUUCUAAACUUUUACCUUGUGGAUAUGUCCUUAACUUUUGUGGUAGUUCAUCUACUUUUGAUUGCAACCUUAUGUCUAUGCAUGUUAACGGCGGUUUAAAGCGAAAUGUUAUGAAGAAAAAGUCUUCCAUGUUAUGGUAUAGGAGAUUAGGUCAUAUCUCCAUUAAGAGAAUUAAGAAAUUAGCCGAAAGGCAAAACCGAACAUUAAUGGACAUGGUAAGAUGCAUGAUUAGUAACUCUAGUUACCAUUGUCAUUGUGGAGUGAAGCCCUUAAAACAGCUGUGUAUGUAUUAAAUAGAGUUCCAACCAAGGCAAUUCAUAAAACACCUUUUGAGUUAUGGAAGAGUUGAAAACCUAGUUUAAGGCAUUUACAUACAUAGGGUUAUCCAGCUGAAAUAGAGUAUGUAAUCCACAUGAGAAGAAAUAAUUAGACUCACGAACAAUUAUUGGUCAUUUCAUUGGCUAUGUAAAAGGAUCUAAGGAUUUUAGGUUUUAUUGUCCAUCCAAUGCAAGUAGAAUAGUAAACUCACCAAAUGCAAGGUUUCUAGAAAAUGGUGAUUAGUGGGAGUAGCCAACCUUGAAAUUUAUGUUUUGAGGAAAUUCAAGAAACACGUUCCAUUCCCGAUUCAUCAAAUGGAGUUGUAGUGGUUCAAGAUAAUCAUCAAGAAUUAGAAAAUUUUGAACAACUAUAUAAUGAUGAACUUAGCAAAAGUUAUAUUGUUUAUGUAAAUCCUGUUAGCAAAAAUUCUCUAAGAGAGGAUGUUGAUGUAACAUUAAGGAGAUUUACAAGAACAAGAAAGUCUGUUAUUCCUUCUAACUAUCUAGUGUAUUUACAAGAAUCUGAUAUUGACUUUGGUGCUGAGGAUGACCCCAUUACGUUUUCACAAGCUAUGAGUGGAAUCAAAUCCACAUUAUGGUAUGAUGUCGUGGAGGAUGAGAUGAAAUCUAUGGCUAGUAAUCAAGUUUGAGAUCUUGUCGAAUUGUCUGAAGGUUCAAAGACCAUUGAUUGUAAAUGGGUAUUUAAACCAAAAGAGAUUCUAGAAACCAUGUUGAAAGAUAUAAGGCAAGACUUGUAGCCAAAGGUUGCGCUCAACAAGAAGGAGUUGAUUAUUAUAUGAAACCUUUUCUCCAGUUUCAAAGGACUCAUUUAGGAUAAUCAUGGCAUUAGUAGCUCAGUUUGAUUUAGAACUACAUCAAAUGGAUGUGAAAAUAGUCUUCCAAGAUGAAGAUUUAGAGGAAGAAGUAUACAUGAAACAACCUGAAUGGUUCACCUCAAGUAAAAAUAGUCACUUAGUAUGUAAGCUUAGAAGGUCUAUAUAUGGGUUAAAGCAAGACUCUCGCCAAUGGAAUUUAAAGUUCCAUGAUGUCAUUACUUCAUUUGGUUUUUGAAGAAAACAUUAUGGAUCAAUGUAUAUACCAUAAUGUUAGUGAGAGCAAAAUUGUUUUCUUAAUCCUAUAUGUAGAUGACAUCUUGCUUGCUUCAAGCGAUUUGGGCUUACUCUAUGAAGUGAAACAGUUUCUCUCAAGAACUUUUGAUAUGAAAGAUAUGGGUGAAGCUCUUAUAUCAUUGGCAUAAAAAUUAAAAGAUACGGAGCUCAAAGGCUAUUAGGACCGUCUCAAGAAACCUAUAUUAAUAAAGUUCUUGAAAGAUUUUGUAUGAAAAAUUGUUCAUUUGGUUUGGUACCUAUAAUUAAACGUGACAAAUUUAAUUUGAGUCAAUGCCCAAUAAAUGACCUUGAAAAGGAACAAAUGAAAAACAUUCCUUAUGGUUAUGCAGCAGGAAGCUUGAUGUAUACUCAGGUUUGUACUAGACCUGAUAUAGCAGUUGUGAUGGGAAUGUUGGGAAAAUAUAAAAGUAAACCAAGCAUGGAUCAUUGGAGAGUUGGAAAGAAAUUGAUGCAUUAUCUUUAAGGAAUGAAACAUUACAUGCUUACUUACAGACAUUCUGAUCAUUUAGAAGUGAUUCGAUAUUCAAACUCAGACUUUGCUGGAUGUUCUGA